UACAGAGGGUGCAAGCGUUGUUCGGAAUUAUUGGGCGUAAAGAGCUCGUAGGCGGCUCAGUAAGUCGGGUGUGAAAACUCCAGGCUCAACCUGGAGACGCCACCUGAUACUGCUGUGGCUAGAGUCCGGUAGGGGAGCAUGGAAUUCCUGGUGUAGCGGUGAAAUGCGCAGAUAUCAGGAGGAACACCAAUGGCGAAGGCAGCUCGCUGGGACGGUACUGACGCUGAGACGCGAAAGCGUGGGGAGCAAACAGG
rnacentral:rRNA from 1 species